rnacentral:rRNA from 1 species
GCCCUGCUUUUGUGGGGUGCUCGAGUGGCGCCGUUAGAGGAACACGNGAGNAACCGGCCCNUGACUUUGGCCCUCUUCAGGAAACUGGGGCUAAUACCGGAUAGGAGCUCCUGCUGCAUGGUGGGGGUUGGAAAGUUUCGGCGGUUGGGGAUGGACUCGCGGCUUAUCAGCUUGUUGGUGGGGUAGUGGCUUACCAAGGCUUUGACGGGUAGCCGGCCUGAGAGGGUGACCGGCCACAUUGGGACUGAGAUACGGCCCAGACUCCUACGGGAGGCAGCAGUGGGGAAUAUUGCACAAUGGGCGGAAGCCUGAUGCAGCAACGCCGCGUGCGGGAUGACGGCCUUCGGGUUGUAAACCGCUUUCGCCUGUGACGAAGCGUGAGUGACGGUAAUGGGUAAAGAAGCACCGGCUAACUACGUGCCAGCAGCCGCGGUGAUACGUAGGGUGCGAGCGUUGUCCGGAUUUAUUGGGCGUAAAGGGCUCGUAGGUGGUUGAUCGCGUCGGAAGUGUAAUCUUGGGGCUUAACCCUGAGCGUGCUUUCGAUACGGGUUGACUUGAGGAAGGUAGGGGAGAAUGGAAUUCCUGGUGGAGCGGUGGAAUGCGCAGAUAUCAGGAGGAACACCAGUGGCGAAGGCGGUUCUCUGGGCCUUUCCUGACGCUGAGGAGCGAAAGCGUGGGGAGCGAACAGGCUUAGAUACCCUGGUAGUCCACGCUGUAAACGGUGGGUACUAGGUGUGGGGKYCAUUCCACGGGUCCCGUGCCGUA